rnacentral:rRNA from 1 species
GACAGAGGUCCCGAGCGUUAGGCGGAAUCACUGGGCUUAAAGCGUGUGUAGGCGGCGGCCUAAGUACCUUGUGAAAUCCCACGGCUCACCCGUGGAACUGCUCGGUAUACUGGGUCGCUUGAGCCACUUAGGGGCUACCGGAACAAAUGGUGGAGCGGUGAAAUGCGUAGAUAUCAGGAGGAACACCGGUGGCGAAGGCGGGUCUCUGGGCCGAUACUGACGCUGAGGAGCGAAAGCGUGGGGAGCGAUCCGG